GCAUGUUUGACAGGACGGGUUACGCUGGUUUGUUAAAUAAUCUGUCAUCUACUCGGUAUUUGGUAGCACAGGCAAAUUACCAAUGUGGCCUGAGGCAGCCCGAAGGCCCGCUGUUAUUCUACAGUUCUACUUCGUUUAUGUAACCAGCGGAGGGGGUCGGUUAAAAUUAAUCAGGAGCUACAAUGCUUAAUAAAAAAAAAUUCAAUUUCCUUAUUACCCUCAAAUUCAAAUCUAAAAGUUUUUGGGAACGACGAUACGAGACAUCCAUUUCUUCAUCACAUUCUUCCUCAACGUGUUUGUGGUGUUACAAGAGCUCCGUCGAUCUGGUUGAAGCCUAACUACCGAAUCUUGAAGUUUCGUGCUGUAUAGCAAUUGAGCAUCACAGCAGGUGUGGACCGAAGAUUGUAUUCUCCUGUUCAGUUUCAUUUGGCAUGGGGAGGCUGAGUGCAUAAACUUAUGCUUGCUCUUCAAACCCGACAGAGUCAAAGCCGAGCCAUCGUGGGAAUGUGAUCGUCAUCAGCAAUUCAUCUACUGCCAAGGCUGCACAGAGCACUCACAGCAGCAACGACACUCAGUGCUCAGAGGACGAGGUUACCUCGCCUCUGCUCCAUGGAACGUAUAAGCUAGCACGCAGGCUGUUUUACGAUGACAAUGACAAAGCAGCAAAGAAGGGGAAACAACCAUCAAGCCAAACAUUCUGGAAGUGGUCGAGCAUUGAGAAAAGGCUGAAAAACCCGGGUCCUUCAACUGUGAACAUACCUCGCGAUGGUGAUGGCAAACGCGGUGUUGGUGAUGGUGAUGAUGGCGGCUCGUGGAGUCCUUGGAAGUAGGCUCCCGGCAUAUUAUCUAUGGUUUCCUAAGAAGUAUUUAUGUUGUUAUGUUUUUUUCUUUUUGUUUUUGUGAUGAAAUUAUGAAGUUAUUAAGAAUGAAGCUAUUAUUAUUAUGA